GAUGAACGCUGGCGGCGUGCCUAAUACAUGCAAGUCGAGCGAAUGGAUUAAGAGCUUGCUCUUAUGAAGUUAGCGGCGGACGGGUGAGUAACACGUGGGUAACCUGCCCAUAAGACUGGGAUAACUCCGGGAAACCGGGGCUAAUACCGGAUAACAUUUUGAACCGCAUGGUUCGAAAUUGAAAGGCGGCUUCGGCUGUCACUUAUGGAUGGACCCGUGUCGCAUUAGCUAGUUGGUGAGGUAACGGCUCACCAAGGCAACGAUGCGUAGCCGACCUGAGAGGGUGAUCGACCACACUGGGACUGAGAAACGGCCCAGACUCCUACGGGAGGCAGCAGUAGGGAAUCUUCCGCAAUGGACGAAAGUCUGACGGAGCAACGCCGCGUGAGUGAUGAAGGCUUUCGGGUCGUAAAACUCUGUUGUUAGGGAAGAACAAGUGCUAGUUGAAUAAGCUGGCACCUUGACGGUACCUAACCAGAAAGCCACGGCUAACUACGUGCCAGCCGCCGCGGUAA
rnacentral:rRNA from 1 species